CCAGGGGCCGUCCCCCGCCGGGUCCUGGAGCGGCGGUCGGCGCGGGGAGGGCCGGCUCCGGGAUGCCGCACGCCACCCAGCUGUACCAGCACGUGCCGGGGACCCGGUGGCCCAUCGUGUACUCACCCCGCUACAAUAUUACCUUCAUGGGCCUGGAGAAGCUGCAUCCCUUUGACGCCGGAAAAUGGGGCAAGGUGAUCGGCUUCCUAAAAGAAGAGAAGCUUCUGUCAGACGGCAUGCUGGUAGAGGCACGGGAAGCCUCGGAGGAGGACCUGCUGGUGGUGCACACGAGACGUUAUCUCAACGAGCUGAAGUGGUCCUUUGCUGUCGCUACCAUCACAGAAAUCCCGCCUGUCAUCUUUCUCCCCAACUUCCUGGUGCAGAGGAAGGUGUUGAAGCCCCUUCGGACCCAGACAGGAGGAACCAUAAUGGCGGGGAAGCUGGCAGUGGAGCGAGGCUGGGCCAUCAAUGUGGGUGGCGGCUUCCAUCACUGCUCCAGCGACCGGGGAGGGGGCUUCUGUGCCUACGCGGACAUCACACUGGCCAUCAAGUUUCUGUUUGAGCGAGUGGAGGGCAUCUCCAGGGCCACCAUUGUUGAUCUUGAUGCCCAUCAGGGCAAUGGGCACGAACGGGACUUCAUGGGUGACCAGCGCGUGUACAUCAUGGAUGUCUACAACCGCCACAUCUACCCUGGAGACCGCUUUGCCAAGCAGGCCAUCAGGCGGAAGGUAGAGCUGGAGUGGGGCACCGAGGACGACGAGUACCUGGAUAAAGUGGAGAGGAACCUCAAGAGAGCCCUUCAGGAGCAUCCUCCCGAUGUCAUGGUGUACAACGCAGGCACUGACAUCCUCGAGGGUGACCGCCUCGGGGGACUGUCCAUUAGCCCACAGGGCAUCGUGAAGCGGGAUGAGCUGGUGUUCCGGGUGGCCCGUGGCUGUCGGGUGCCCAUCCUCAUGGUGACCUCAGAUGAGACAGCUGAGACUCAGCGAGCAACGUGAUCCAAACCCCGCACACAUCUGGUGAGGCAUAGAGCCAGGUUUGAACCCAGCUCUAGUGGACUCAAAUUAACUCUGAGAAAGAAAAUACCUAUGAAGAAGGGCUCCUGCUGGCUAUCUGGGCUCAAAAAUUUAAAAAAGAAGAAUAAACAAAACAGAGCCUAGCAGAUGUUGCUAAACAGGUACUUCUCAUGCAAGCUGUGAGUCAGGAGAAGCCUGCACAGAAUGCCUGUUGUCUGCACUGAACUGCCUGCCUGCACUGUGGUGUUCCUGCAUCUGAGCCAGCCCUUACAAAGGAGUUCCUGGAAUCGUAUUUCAACCAAUAGGAUUGAGACUUUCUCCAUCCAAUCGGACCUGCACAGCUAGAAUCCUCAUUAGCAUCUCCACUGACCAAUCAGAGCAGCUCCAUUCUGACCAAUCGGGACAGUGCUUUUGGGCCAAUCAAACAGUGAAGAUUUAGAGUCCUCAUUUCCAAGAGAAUGGGCCAAUCUGGGACCAGGGGCAAAGAUUUCUCUCUGUGUGAGUCAGUUCCCUUUAGGUCUGGAGGGUGCACUUGCCCUUUCCAUGGAAGACUGUCUCCCAGGUGGACUGUAACACAGGCGCUGUUUUGUCCCAGUGGAACUGAGCAGCGCUGUCUUGGUGGACCAGGGCAGAGCGGAACAGGAGUUGUCUGGCUGGUACACUGGGGCCAGCACCAUUCUGUCAGAGCUGCCUCACGGUUCCACAGCCAUGCUUUUCCAUAACUGAGCUGUAACACUAUCAAGCUGUUUCACAGCUGUGCUGUAUCACAACUGAAUCACAAUGGAGCUGUUUGCACUGAAUAAAUUCUCCUCCUUCACUGCA